rnacentral:rRNA from 1 species
CCAGACUCCUACGGGAGGCAGCAGUGGGGAAUUUUGGACAAUGGGGGAAACCCUGAUCCAGCCAUUCCGCGUGUGUGAAGAAGGCCUUCGGGUUGUAAAGCACUUUUGGCGGGAAAGAAACGGCGUCGACUAAUACUCGGCGUAACUGACGGUACCCGCAGAAUAAGCACCGGCUAACUACGUGCCAGCAGCCGCGGUAAUACGUAGGGUGCAAGCGUUAAUCGGAAUUACUGGGCGUAAAGCGUGCGCAGGCGGUUCGGAAAGAAAGAUGUGAAAUCCCAGGGCUCAACCUUGGAACUGCAUUUUUAACUACCGGACUAGAGUAUGUCAGAGGGGGGUGGAAUUCCACGUGUAGCAGUGAAAUGCGUAGAUAUGUGGAGGAACACCGAUGGCGAAGGCAGCCCCCUGGGAUAAUACUGACGCUCAUGCACGAAAGCGUGGGGAGCAAACAGGAUUAGAUACCCUGGUAGUCCACGCCCUAAACGAUGUCAACUAGCUGUCGGGACCUUCGGGUUUUGGUAGCGCAGCUAACGCGUGAAGUUGACCGCCUGGGGAGUACGGUCGCAAGAUUAAAACUCAAAGGAAUUGACGGGGACCCGCACAAGCGGUGGAUGAUGUGGAUUAAUUCGAUGCAACGCGAAAAACCUUACCUACCCUUGACAUGUCUAGAAUCCCGAAGAGAUUUGGGAGUGCUCG